GCGCGGGUAGCUCAGUGGUUAGAGCGUUCGAUUGCAGCUCGAAGGUCACUGGUUCAAUCCGUCCCGCGCU
rnacentral:tRNA from 1 species